rnacentral:rRNA from 1 species
GAUGAACGCUAGCUACAGGCCUAACACAUGCAAGUCGAGGGACCGGCGCACGGGAGAGUAACACGUAUCCACCCUGCCCUUUACUCGGGGAUAGCCUUUCGAAAGAAAGAUUAAUAACCGAUGUACAGGAUGGUGAUGAGUUCAAUUAGGUUGUUGGUGAGGUCACGGCUCACCAAGCCUUCGCUGGAUAGGGGUUCUGAGAGGAAGGUCGCCCAGAUUGGAACUGGGACACGGGCCAAACUCCUACGGGAGGAAGCAGUGAGGAAGAUUGGUCAAUGGGCGUUAGCCGGAACCAGCCAAGUAGAGUGAAGGAUGAAGGAUGAUGGGUCGUAAACUUCUUUUAUAUAAGAAAAAGUAUUAUAUGAAUAAGGAUCGGCUAACUCCGUGCCAGCAGCCGCGGUAAUAC